ensembl:rRNA 5S_rRNA 5S ribosomal RNA
UCUUGCAGCUGCACCACCCUGAACACGCCCGAUUUCAGAAGCUACGCAGGUUUGGUCCCGGUUAAUUCUUGGAUGGGAGACUGCCUGAGAAUGCAGCUACUGUAAGCU